AUUAAAAUUCAAAGUUUUGGAAUAAAACAUCAUUUUCUCUUUUUUUUUCCCUAAAAUGUGAGGCACCGAGUUCGCUGAGAGAGAAUGAAACCCUAAGUUUUCUACAUACGCCAUUCUGGCCGCCGUUCUCGCUGCCGUUUCCUCCGCCGGCACCAUCACCAUUGCCGUGUCCGUUGCGGUAGAGAGCUUCUGGAUCGAGAACUUCUGGAUCAGGGAGGUUGAUGUUGGCCCCGAUGGUAAGAUCCGUUACGAGGAUUUCAUCGCCAGAAUGGUUGCUAAGUAAACUCCUCACAUAUCAGAUCCUUGCAAAUUCCAUUCGCUCUGCUUCUGGAUUUUCCUAAAUGUGUUCUUUCUUUUUUUUCAGCUAUUUUCGUAUUGCUGUUUCUUCUUUUUUUUUUUAUUUAUUUAUUUUUGGUCAUGUUUGGUUUUUGUUUUGUGCCGUUUUCUUUAGUGGACGAACGGGUUAACCAUGUUAUGCGCAUUUUGGUUUUUUGCCAUAUUAAUGUCAUCAUGUAGCUAACAAUGGAUGGUUUUAGGGAUUCAAAAGUUGCUUGGAUUGAAUAUAUGUGUAUGGUGAGAUCCAAAGCGGUCUUUAUCUGCUUCUGCUGUAAUUGUUUAUUGGCUAAAUAGACUACAGCCAUGGUUGGGAAAAUGUGUGUGUGUGUGUGUGUCAAACUUGUGUUCUAAUUUCAGAGAAGAAGAACGAGCAGAGCAUUGUUUUGGGGGGUUUCAAGUUUUGAUUAUUUUGUUUUUGUUUUUCUGUGAAAUUUUGUUUUCGGAUUGAAUGUGACUCAGAGUGCGCAGCCGAAAAGGUGAAAAUGAAUGAGGAAAAAAAAGAUUAUUAUAUGAAUAUUUUUUCCCUUUGUUUGAUGCUUUUGCAGGUUUGAGUUGAUAGAGUUUAUCAGUUUACUCUGCAUCUCAUCUCACUCUCAUUCUCCAGCUAUAUUUUCUUCCAUGUUAUCAUUAUUUUUCGAAAAUCUCAAUUGGAGGUAAAUUUCUAAAUUUGACAUGAUAAUAAUAUCUACAUUUAAUUUACAUCUUGAGAUGGUGGCUUUUUUUGUGUCUAACAAAACUGAUACCAAUUGUCCAUGGUCCAUAGUCCAAUUGCAUGGUCUACGUUUUUUUUUGUUUCUUUUGUUUCCAUGUUUCACCUUGCAUUCUUCAGCAAGCUUGUUACAUAGUAAUGGUUGUCAACUUAACUUUUCUUCUAUCAAAUGUAAAUGCACCCUAGCAUGGUUGACGUUAUUAUCUACCUAUUGUUUCAUUGAAUUGAAUCUCAAAUCUAAUGCUGGAUACUGAAUUUAUGUUAGAAAAAUGGUUAUCAGCUACUAUUUCUGAGUGCUCGUGCAAUUGUCCAAGCUUAUCUAACCUAGAACUUCUUGAUUAACCUGAAACAGGUAUUGAAAGUUAAAACUAACAGUUUAUUUUCAAUUAUAUUGUAGGUUUAUUUUUAUUCUUUCAUCCAGGAAUUUAUAUAUGAGAUUUUCUUAUGAGGGUUUUGUUGGUCUAGAAUGCAUGAGUAAUUAAGUCCUCAUCUGUUUAUUUAUAUAGUGUUUUUCUUUAACUGCCUUUCGUCUUACCUUAAACUUAGAUCUAUCUCUCUUUAACUGCCUUUAACUGCCUAUCUUUCAAGAUUUGUUAUUUGCUAUAAUUAAGUGACAAGUGUUGCUCUGAGCCCUAGCUUGAGGCUAGCGAAGGAAACUUGGAACAUGGACCACAGUGUAUAGAGUUAGCAUAGCAUCACAAAAAAUAAACAAGUCUUCUACUCUAGAAGUGAUCCAGUUUUCAUUCCAGUUCCUGAUAACUCUGCCAAUAAGAGGAGGUUUACUCUGUCUUGCCCUUAGAAACUAUGCUCAUGUUCCUUUUAUGAAGUGUCUCUAAUGUUGUGGACGUGAUUGAGAAUUAGUGAUUGCUGAUAAGGAGAAAGGAAAUAGUGCCACUGCAGACCAUCAGAACUAUGUCUGUACAUAGAUAUAUGAGGUCUGUUUGGGCAUAAUGUCCAGCUUUUGCUUUAACACCCUUAACGAUCACUGAGGUUGUCCAUGAAUCCAAGCUCCCAAUCAAGUUGUGUCACAUCCUCACAACAAGCAUCACAUGCUGUCAUGAGCACUACAAAGAAGAGGGUGCAUGACGAAAUGGUGGAGCAGAACCAGAGCAAAUUACUCAUAGAAAAUCCAUUGAUACCUUUGGCUAGAGAACAUCUCAAUAUAGAGGUGUUACAAGGGUAUUGUGAGGCUCAAACCCUGCUUGGACUUUCUUUCUGAGGUUGGCCCUUACAAGAUUAUGGAUGGAAUAUUGUGGCCAAUUUUAGAGGUAGUAACGUCGGCAUUGGAGGAGAUGAACUUGUUAGAGGACACUAUAAUAAAGAGACAAAGAACUGUGUAAGGGCUUGCUAUUUAUACUGCUUGAAGUCAUGUAUCAAGUACAUUGAGAAGGAAUACAGAGCUCUUUGUAAAGUAUAGCAUCUUUUGUUUUUUCUAAAAUUAGCUUUACUGUUUACUUUUAUUCAGAGUUUUUAUGUUUACUUAUUCUGCUGAAUUAAAACUAUAUUUAUACUUCUUGAAUUUUGUGCAUCUCGAAUGGAUAAUUUGAUGUUGCAGCUUAUAAAAGAUACAAGUUGAUUCAUG